GACGGAGGAUGCAAGUGUUAUCCGGAAUCACUGGGCGUAAAGCGUCUGUAGGUGGUGAUGCAAGUCACUGGUGCAAAACUCUGGCUCAACCGGAGGAAAGCCAGUGAAACUGCAUGACUAGAGUGUGGGAGAGGUAGAAGGAAUUCCCUGAGUAGCGGUGAAAUGCGUAGAUACAGGGAAGAACACCGGAGGCGAAAGCGUUCUACUGGAACACAACUGACACUGUGAGACGAAAGCUAGGUGAGUGAAUGGG
rnacentral:rRNA from 1 species